GUCAAGGGCCAAGGGGAGCAUGCAGAGAACAGGUGGGACGUGCAGGGGCUUCUGGAACUGACUCAGGAUGGCCCACACCUGCCCUGACUGUCAAUCAACGAGAGCCAAAAGAAAAGAGAUACUGAAGCACUACUGUACUCGGACAUGGUGUCCUCGGGAGUUUAGAAAAACUUCUCUGGACUUUCCUGUUGCACUGUGUGGGACGUCCAGUCCAGGCCACGGUAGCAGUUUCCAUUGGUUUCGGACAGCUAAUGCCCCUUGUGAAACGGCACCAGCUCUUAUAGUGUUGCCUUAGCAGCCGGCCGGACCCGUGUGUGCUGGGUGGGCAGCAGGUGCGAGCGUGGAGGACAGCUCAACUGCUGCACUGUACGACACACAUACAGUUGAUGCACACACAAACACACAGUGACUUUUAAAGUGAAACUAAACUUUUUAAGAAUCUUACAAAAGCAACCAUGGAC
rnacentral:lncRNA from 1 species